rnacentral:rRNA from 1 species
UACGGGGGGGGCAAGCGUUGUUCGGAAUUACUGGGCGUAAAGGGUUCGUAGGUGGCUUGCUAAGUCAGACGUGAAAUCCCUCAGCUUAACUGGGGAACUGCGUCUGAGACUGGCAAGCUUGAGUGCAGGAGAGGAAUGCGGAAUUCCAGGUGUAGCGGUGAAAUGCGUAGAUAUCUGGAGGAACACCGGUGGCGAAGGCGGGUCUCUGGGCAACAACUGACGCUGAGGAGCGAAAGCGUGGGGAGCGAACAGG